rnacentral:rRNA from 1 species
AGAGUUUGAUCCUGGCUCAGGAUAAACGCUGGCGGCGCACAUAAGACAUGCAAAGUCGAACGGACUUAAUCUUAAUAUUUAUAUUGAGAAGCGGUUAGUGGCGGACUGGUGAGUAACGCGUAAGCAAUCUGCCUAUUAGAGGGGAAUAACAGUGAGAAAUCAUUGCUAAUACCGCAUAUGCCAUAAGAACCACAUGGUUCUAGUGGGAAAGGAGUAAUCCGCUAAUAGAUGAGCUUGCGUCUGAUUAGCUAGUUGGUGUGGUAAUGGCACACCAAGGCAACGAUCAGUAGCCGGACUGAGAGGUUGAACGGCCACAUUGGGACUGAGAUACGGCCCAGACUCCUACGGGAGGCAGCAGUCGGGAAUAUUGCGCAAUGGAGGAAACUCUGACGCAGUGACGCCGCGUAUAGGAAGAAGGUUUUCGGAUUGUAAACUAUUGUCGUUAGGGAAGAUAAAAGACAGUACCUAAGGAGGAAGCUCCGGCUAACUACGUG